UUUGUAGCUGAGAGUCUCCUCUUUCCAUAUUGGGGUCAAAUUAGUUUGUAUCUGAGUCUCCUUUCCAUAGUGGGGUCAUUUUUGUUUGUAGCUGAGAGUCUCCCCUUUCCAUAGUGGGGUCAUAUUAGUUUGUAGCUGAGAGUCUCCUCUUUCCAUAGUGGGGUCAUAUUAGUUUGUAUCUGAGAGUCUCCUAUUUCCAUAUUGGGGUCAUAUUAGUUUGUAGCUGAGAGUCUCCCCUUUCCAUAAUGGGGUCAUAUUAGUUUGUAGCUGAGGCUCCUCUUUCCAGAGUGGGGUCAUAUUAGUUUGUAGCUGAGUCUCCUCUUUCCAUAGUGGGGUCAUUUUAGUUUGUAGCGGAGAGUCUCCCCUUUCCAUAGUGGGGUCAUAUUAGUUUGUAGCUGAGUCCUGUAUCCAGAGUGGGGUCAUAUUAGUUUGUAGCUGAGAGUCUCCUCUUUCCAUAGUGGGGUCAUAUUAGUUUGUAGCUGAGAGGCUCCCCUUUCCAUAGUGGGGUCAUAUUAGUUUGUACCUGAGAGUCUUCCCUUUCCAUAGUGGGGCCAUAUUAGUUUGAAGCUGAGGCUCCUCUUUCCAUAGUGGGGUCAUAUUAGUUUGAAGCUGAGUCUCCUCUUUCCAGAGUGGGGUCAUAUUAGUUUGUAGCUGAGAGUCUCCUCUUUCCAUAGUGGGGUCAUAUUAGUUUGUAGCUGAGUCUCAUCUUUCC
rnacentral:lncRNA from 1 species